rnacentral:rRNA from 1 species
CCUACGGGAGGCAGCAGUGAGGAAUAUUGGUCAAUGGGCGCGAGCCUGAACCAGCCAAGUCGCGUGAGGGAAGACGGCCCUACGGGUUGUAAACCUCUUUUGCCGGGGAGCAACGGGCGCCACGUGUGGCGCCACUGAGAGUACCCGGAGAAAAAGCAUCGGCCAACUCCGUGCCAGCAGCCGCGGUAAUACGGAGGAUGCGAGCGUUAUCCGCAUUUAUUGGGUUAAAGGGUUGCGUAGGCGGCUCGUUAAGCCAGUGGUCAAAUUGAGGGGUUCAACCCCUUCCCGCCAUUGAAACUGGCGCUCUUGAGUGGGAGAGAAGUAUGCGGAAUGCGUGGUGUAGCGGUGAAAUGCAUAGAUAUCACGCAGAACCCCGAUUGCGAAGGCAGCAUGCCGGCUUCCUACUGACGCUGAAGCACGAAAGCGUGGGGAUCGAACAGGAUUAGAUACCCUUGUAGUC